UACUGUGCUGAAAUUGUUACAGAUUUAAUGAUGCACUAUCAUGGAUUUGCUUUAAGGUAAGGGGGUGGGAGAGAAUUGAGUGAAAGUAUAGAUGAAACAAGAUUGACCAUGAGAUGAAAACUGUUUAAGCUGUGUGAUAGGUCAUGGGGUUUAUUAUACUAUUCUCUCUAAUUCUGUUCAAUAUUUUCCAUAUAAAAUUUUUUAUUAAAGUAUAGUUGAUGUAUAAUAUUUCUUCAAUCUCUGUUGUACAGCAAAGUGACCCAGCCAUACACAGUUCCCUGGGCUGUACAGUAGGAGCCCAUUGCCUAUCCAUUCCAAAUGCUAUAGUUUGCAGCAGCAAAUCCCAAACUCCCCGUCCAUCCCACUCCCUGCCUUUCUUCCCCCUGGCAAUCACAAGCCUUCUCUCUAUGUCUAUGAUCUGUUUCUGUUUUGUGAAUAGGACCAUCUGUACCAUAUUUUAAAUUUCACACAUAAGUUAUAUCCUAUGGCAUUUGUCUUUCUCUUUCUGACUUAUUUCGCUUAGAAUGAGAAUCUCUAGUUCCAUCCAUGUUUCUGCAAAUGGCAUUAUCUUGUCCUUUUUAUGGUGAGUAGUAUUCCAUUGUUUAUAUGUAUCACAACCUCUUAAUCCACUCAUCUGUCGAUGGACAUUUAGGCUGUUUCCAUGUUUUGGCUAUUGUGAAUAGUGCUGGAAUGAACGUAGGUGCUAUGAAUGAAUAUUUUGUCCAGAUAUAUGCCCAGGAAUGGGGUUGCUGGAUCAUAUGGUAGUUCUAUAUUUAGUUUUCUGAGGUACUUCCAUACUGUUUUCUAUAGUGGUUGUACCAUUUUACAUUCCCACCAGCAGUGAAGGAGAGUACCAUGUAAACACUUUUUUAUGAAUAUCCAAAUUAAGUAUAAAGAAUGCUGAAAGAUUUGGCAAAGACUGACCCAGUGUUCUCCUAAGUCUCAUAUUUUUUCCAAGGCACUAGAAAUAGCUAUAUUUCACUUUGUAGUCAAGCCAUAUGACUUAGGUUCUGGCCAAUAAAAUGUGGACUGAAGUGAUGUAAAAUGCUUCCAAGUGUGACCCUAAUCCUGCAUGACCCUCUAAGCUUUCACUCAUCCCUUGCCUUCAGGCUGGAUGCAAACUAGUGAAGAACUCUAAACUCCUAGGCAAUGAGGGAAGCUGAGUGAAUAAGCCUAGACCUUUGAAUGACUUCCUGGAAAAGAACUACCUCCCACACUCCGCUGAUGAACCUGUGAUGUGACUGAGAGAUAAGCCUUUAUCAUGUUUUUAAUACAGUAUUAAAUUGCCCUUAAUCUGGCAAACCAGGUUUUGAGCUUAGCUGUUUUAGACAUGGAAGAGGCUCUUAGUAGUUAUUUGACCUUUUAGCUUUGAUGAUAAUAACUAACAUUUACUGAAUAACCACUAUAUGCCAGAUAUAUCAUGACUAUAAGGGGGAAACUAGUAUUCUUCUCAUUUGGUAGAGGAGGAAACUGCAAGAAUAAGUAACUUGCCUGUCAAACAAAUAAUAAGUGACAAAGCCAAGAUUCACAUUCAGUUCUGACUCCUAAUUUCUGUGUCUGCAUCAACCCUCAAUACUACCUAAAUAUUUUGGACUUCCCCAUGGGGAAUGAAUACUGGCAUGAGCUAAUCUCUGGUAAACAUGAUGUAUCAUCUAUAAGCAGUGCUGGACCCCCAUUCUAGAGAAGAGUACACAGAAGAGAAAAUAUCCAAAGUCUGUUCUUCCCCUGCCCUUGUAAACAGUGUCCUGAUGAGCAGAACGUAAUGGUGGUGUCCUUGAUCAUCUGGGAUAAAACCAAGUGUGAGGGUUUCAUUCACUCUGAAUGGUUCUCUGAUUUAAUUCUCUUCCCCAUCUCUCAACCAUGACCUCUCCUGCAUUUGUCACAAGGAGAAAACAUCAUCUGUUCCAAUAACAACUGCUUACCCACAGCCCAUCAAGCCUACUCUUUGUGACUCUCUCUCUCCUUGAUGCCACACCAGAACCUAUGUGUCUCCAGGCUAUUCAGAGCACAUAUUCGGGCAAAAAGUCAUGUAAAAGCUCAUUAAAACUCCAAAAUGACACCAGUAAUUGAUAACUCCCUUGCUUCCUGGUCUCACUUGCCUGCUGUAGAUACCACCAGUCCUCAUUAGGCAGCAAGGCUGAGAAGAGGGCACAUCAAGCUUUUGCCAGCACUCUACCUAGGACAGGGUUUCAAACUGCAGUCCAUGGAGAGGCUUCAGGAGUCACCUGCGAAGAUGAGAGAUGAUAGAAUGUUGAAGGAGUGCAGAAUCUAAAAACCCCAACUCACUGCUAUCACAUCAGUUCACUUUAUCUGCUUCAUGUACAAUUGCAUUUGGAGACUUGUUCCACUCUUGAAAUAGAAAGGAAAAAUGCUUGCUUUGGAAGAUCUUUUGAGUCUCCAAACUUUUGAGUCCUUCUUUGAGUCUUGAGCCUCUCAGUUCCCAAUAUAACUGUUUACCGGGAGCAGAGGUGUGAAAGAAGCUCAGCUGACUGUCUCAACUCUAAAUAUUCCACUCUCUCACCCAUGGAAUCAAGAAAAAUCACAGCAGAACAGCUUGUGGGUGGAGAAAAGGGCCAUGAGUCCCACGGUUGGUUCUGAGUCUUACAUAGCAUUACAUAGCCUAGGAGCUGAAUGUACAUGACAUGAGUAGAUGGAUGGUUUGAUCUCUGUUGGUCUGGGUGUAGUUCCAUUGGACGGUGGGAAACUGGCCUUGAUCUCAGAAUGUCACAGUAUUUAUUCUUCAAGAAUCAGAGAGGCAAUUUGGCGCAGACAUGAAGAAUGUGGGAUCUGAAAUAAGACUUUCUGGCCUGAAAUCCUGCCACUUUCAAAGUGUGUCACCUUUUCCUCAUAGGGUAGGAAUAGUUAUUUCCCUCAUAAGGCUGUUAUGAGGAUUGAAUGAGUCAAAAUGUGUAAAGCACUUGGCGGCUGACAUGUUAGUGCUCAGCGAACAUUAAGAAAGGUUAAGUUCUCAUCAUUGUUGUUACCCUGUUUAAAUGCCUCCUGACUCUCCUAUAUAGAAUUCAUUAUUCUCUGCUUUGCUCAGACCUCCAGGGAGGCUGAGGAUUUUUUUUUUUCCCAAACUCUAACCCAAAUUAGAUGGUAGGGACGAUAAAACAGAUUCUUUGAAAUCAGAAUACAUAAAUAUGUAAUGUAAGUGAAGCCCUUACUCCCUCUGUAGCACUCAUGGUUAUAUGUCUGUCUCUCCCUCCCAACCUCUGGCUCCUUUGGGAUGGAUUCCACAUUUUAUCCAUCUUUGUAUCCCAAAGGCCUGGCGUAUUGUAAGUGUGCACUGCAGUUUGAUUGAAUGGGUGAGCAGCUUUGUCUGGACUAGGGAGUAGCCUGACCGUUGCCUCCUGGCUUUCGUACUUGCCUAUUUCCCAGAGACUCAGUUCCUUUCUUUGCCCCAAGAAGAGGAUGAAGUGUGGGCUAGAUCCAGGGCACCGCUUCUGGGCUUUCCUGUGAGACUGUGGAAUUCAGAGCAUGCAGAGAAAAUAAUGUUUGCUGAGCACCCAUCAUGUUCCUGGAACCUGCAUGGCUCUUUAAAACACUUAAUUCCCAUAGCAGUUUAGUGGAGGUAUAUUCUUAUUAGUCUCAUUUUCCUAGGUUUCUUAGUUUCCUAGGAAACUGAAUUUAAGCAUCUUUUCCAGGGUCACACAGCUGAUGUGUCUGGGGCAGAAUUCAGACCUGGGUCUGAAAUCACAAGUGUGUGCUCCUCCCAUUCUUCUUACAGGCUCCCGCUGAAGAAAGUCAAGCUCUGCACCUCCUCCCACCCCCUUCUCCACUCCUCCUCGACUUGCUACCUUAAGUCUUUUCUUUAUUCUUCCAUAUUAUCCUCCCUAAUAUUAUUUUUCUUCUUGAGUUGGCUUAUUUAUCACCUGGCUAUGUCUCCUUAUUAAUAUAACCAGAGCUUAAACAUUAUGUCUCCCCACUGCCUCGUUUACCAGCACGGUGCUGAGCACUUAUGAGCUUGGCAAUUAGGCUGAGCUCAGAGGGGCCAUAACAUCUGCAUCUUCCGCUGCUUUCAUAGGAAAUGGGGUAGAAAGGAAAGGAUGUGAGACAGGGCAGUGCAUAGCAUAUGCAUGGUAGAGGAGGAAGUGGGGGUGGGGAGGUGCAUUGUGAUGAUGGCACAGUCAGGCAUUUCUCCCUCCAGGUUCUCAGCCAGACUCAGUGACUUGCUUAUGGCCUGAGGCUGUGAACCUCAGGAAAACCCUAAGGUCAUUUCUGCCAAACAGCCCCCUUCUAUCUUAUUUCUAUGCCCAGUAUCAUCAUCACCAUUUGCCACCGUUAAUUUAUUGAGUGCCUACUGUGUGCUUUACACACAUCUCAUUUUAUCCAUACAACAAUCCCAUGAGCUAGGUAUUAACUUACUCCAUUAUAUAGAUGAGGAGGCUAUAGCUCAGAGAAUAUAAACAACUUGUUCAAACUCAUAUAGCUAGGAGUGGCAGAAAAAGAAAAAAGGGCAGAAACACAUAAAAAUUAAAUAAGAGAAGUCAGGGGUGAGGGCAAUUGGCCAUCAGACUUGGCCUCUCAGAGCUGCUCCUAUCUGGACACAUGCCCAGUGCAUAGAAAUAGUGGAAUGUCCCUAUCAGCUCACAUCAUGGCCUGCCUGGGGAGGAAGGAUCUCUAAGUCCCAACGAUUGAUGACCUGAUUUCUCCUGGCUUUCCAAGGAUGCUGCAGAACUGGAAGAUAUAGUCCAGGGACCAGGGAGGGCUCGAUCUUCUAAAACCCAUCACGCUUCAUACUUCCUCAACAAAGGCACUUUAUAUUCCAAUGGAUGCCUCAAGAUACCCCCUGAAAAGAUGUCUGCCCAGUAGACUAGUUGUUCUGCCCCAGAACUGUUCUUUUCUGGUGGCUUUCCCCCAACUUUUUAACUUAUUUAGUCCCUUACUCCAAUCUCAUGGCUCUCUGGGCUCAAGCCUUCCAGGCCCAUUUGGAGCCUCUCCAACAAGUAUUCCAAGACAGUUCCCUGCCAGUCACAACACAAAACCAAUUCUUAAGAAAACCAGGCUAUCUGAGAUUUUAUUACUUACCCUGGAGUUGGUCUUACCCUCCAAAGUUCUUCUAGAAUCCGUCACUGGUCCAAUUCACAGAUUUAGGCUAUUUCACAUAGCCCGGGAAAGUCAAUCUCAAGCUUUUCUUGGAAGCAGCCACUAACAAAAAAGUAAUAAGCUUGCAUGGAAAAACUAGGGUUUUUUAUUCUUAAAAUAUAUUCUUAAGACUGAUAUGAUUAAGCACAGGGAUAAGUAUUAAUAAGGCAGAUCUUAGCAGCUGUAGUUGAGGCUGGCUAUGUUGGAUGGCACCAAGCUCCUUGCAUCUCACUUUCCCUUCCCUUUCUUCCCCCUUCCUCACUCCCCUUAUUCCCACACAAAUAAGGUGGUGGUUGGCAGUUCCCACUGCCAGCAUGUAUGCCCAGUGAGCAGCGAAGUAGUGCUCACUGGUUUCUUUAAAUGUGACCAGGAACAUGGUGGUAGUUGGAAGGACCUUAGAAACUACUCAUCAAACAAAUAUUUAUUGAAUAUAUAAUAUGUGUUAGACACAGUUCUAAGCCUUCGAGACAGAGCAGAAGACAAAAAAGAUUCUUACCCUCAAGAAGGGAGAUAGACAAUAAAUAAAUACGGUUGACCCUUGAAUAACAAGGAUUUGAACUGCACAGAUCCACUUACACGCAGGUUUUUUUUUUUUUAAGUAAAUAUAGAGUUGUCCUUCCCAUUCAGGGGUUACUGCAUCAGCAGAUUGAAACUUCCACCCUCAGCUGGUUGAACCUUCAAAUAAGAGACUCGAGGGUUGUGGAGGGUCAACUAUGGGAGGUGAGCACCUGUGGAUUCUGGUAUACAUAGGGGCUCCUGGAAACAGUCCCCCUCCCCCACCAGAUACUAAGAAACGACUAUACAUCAAACAUGAGCAGAGUUAUGAAAGGGACAAGGCCGAGAAGGGGUAUGAAGAGUUGUACAGUGAAGGUGGAGGGUUAACAUUUUAAAUGGGGAGGGGCACGGGUUAGAGGAGGCCCUAUAUAGGAGGUGAUGUUUGAGCAAAGAACUGAAGGAGAUGAGGGAGUGAGGGCUGUGGCUCACUAGCGGAAGAACACUCCAUGUAGAGGGAACAGGAAAUGCAAAGGGUCUGAGGCAGAAGCCUGCCUGGCCUAUUCAGAGAACAGCAGGGAAGCUAGGAAAGGAGAGUGGCCGGAAGAAGUGAAAGAGGUCAUAGAAGACUGGAUGGACUACAGACCUUGCAGACCGGCCUAAGGGCUUAGCCUACAUGAAAUGGAAAGUUAUUGAGGGCUUGUGAGUAGUUGAAUGAUGUGAUCUGACGUCUG
rnacentral:lncRNA from 1 species